GAUUAGGGAAAGAGGAGGAGCGAGUGAGCGAGAGGGCUAGGCUUCGAGUGUAGGCUCGACGGCAGCGGCGCAGCUGCAGCUACAGCUACGGCACGUGGCCUCGGAGGGGCGCCGCGGUCUUCGAAGGGUCCUCUGCCCGGGGAAGCAGCAGCAAGACAUGCCGUUGGCCUAGAUCGACCUCGGGGGACCUCGACAGCGGUAGCUGGGAAGGAGAAGCUGGUACCUGCAGACGAGGUGGAGCAGCUAGACGAUGGAGGCCAGGAGGGACUUGGUGGGGCUCGAGCGGUAGCGGAAGGGGAGAUGGGGCACUGCUACGACUACGGGGACACCAGCUGAUGCAGUGGCUGCUGGGGAGGAAGAACAGACUCGUUGGCCUACGACCUCAGGUCCUCGGUCUGCGGUGGCAGCUGCUGCUGGGGAUGAUGUGGCCUCCACGGAUGAUGAUGCACGUCGGGCGACUUCUACUGGUCCUCAUCAAUCCUCCUAGGGUCCGUCCUCCGGACGCGGAGAAAGCUAGACAUAGGAUCAAACACGAUAGGUAGAAUACCGUUGAACAAAUUGAAUACAGACAUGAGUCUAUAACAACGAAGGCGACUGAGCAGAUACUAGCUCGUGAACAUAAGCUCGGG
rnacentral:rRNA from 1 species